rnacentral:rRNA from 1 species
GAUGAACGCUGGCGGCGUGCCUAAUACAUGCAAGUCGAGCGAACAGACGAGGAGCUCGCUCCUCUGACGUUAGCGGCGGAUGGGUGAGUAACACGUGGAUAACCUACCUAUAAGACUGGGAUAACUUCGGGAAACCGGAGCUAAUACCGGAUAAUAUAUUGAACCGCAUGGUUCAAUAGUGAAAGACGGUUUUGCUGUCACUUAUAGAUGGAUCCGCGCCGCAUUAGCUAGUUGGUAAGGUAACGGCUUACCAAGGCAACGAUGCGUAGCCGACCUGAGAGGGUGAUCGGCCACACUGGAACUGAGACACGGUCCAGACUCCUACGGGAGGCAGCAGUAGGGAAUCUUCCGCAAUGGGCGAAAGCCUGACGGAGCAACGCCGCGUGAGUGAUGAAGGUCUUCGGAUCGUAAAACUCUGUUAUUAGGGAAGAACAAAUGUGUAAGUAACUAUGCACGUCUUGACGGUACCUAAUCAGAAAGCCACGGCUAACUACGUG